CAAUAGCGUAUAUUAAAGUUGUUGCAGUUAAAAAGCUCGUAGUUGGAUUUGUGGCGUACGGUGGGUUCCGGGCACUUGUUGUCUGAGUAACUUGCUGUUGCCAUCCUUGGGUGGAACCUGUGUGGCAUUAGGUUGUCGUGCAGGGGAUGCCCAUCAUUUACCGUGAAAAAAUUAGAGUGUUCAAAGCAGGCUUAUGCCGUUGAAUAUAUUAGCAUGGAAUAAUGAGAUAGGACUUUUUUGCUAUUUUGUUGGUUUGUGCAAAGAGGUAAUGAUUAAUAGGGACGGUUGGGGGUAUUCGUAUUCCAUUGUCAGAGGUGAAAUUCUUGGAUUUUUGGAAGACGAACUACUGCGAAAGCAUUUACCAAGGAUGUUUUCAUUAA
rnacentral:rRNA from 1 species